GUCCACGCCCUAAACGAUGUCAACUGGUUGUUGGGAGGGUUUCUUCUCAGUAACGAAGCUAACGCGUGAAGUUGACCGCCUGGGGAGUACGGCCGCAAGGUUGAACUCAAAGGAAUUGACGGGGACCCGGCACAAGCGGUGGAUGAUGUGGUUUAAAUUCGAUGCAACGCGAAAAACCUUAACCUACCCUUGACAUGGCAGGAAUCUUGCAGAGAUGCGAGAGUGCUCGAAAGAGAAUCUGCACACAGGUGCUGCAUGGCCGUCGU
rnacentral:rRNA from 1 species